CAAUCUCCGAGGAUUUCUCAAUGAAGCACAUGCUGAUGGUGCACUUGCCUUUGGAAUAAUUACUUUGCUCUACAACAGUAUGAAGGGUAAGCUAAUUCUAUUGUCACUGUGCUUCACACUUCUCUGUCAUGGUUUACAGAUUCAGAGCUAGCAAUUAUGCUAAAGGCAGAGACAGAGAAGGGGAUUAGUGGAGUGGAUUUUUCAUUUUCAGUACUGGGUUUUACCAUGACCCUGUCGUUGCCUCGUACUACAACAACAUAUAUGGUCAGUACUACAUCUAUGAGAAUGGAUAUUACGUGUUAUGGACUUCAGAUGCGGUACUUACAAGUUCAUCUGGUUACUCGAAAUUUCUCGAUGUGUCAUUUUCUUACAGAUAAAUACUUAAUAGGUACAGAGCUGCUGAGAGAAGGGUAGACAUAUCUACAAAGAGGGCCACAAGCCUAGUAUGAUUUGUCAGAGCGACAUCUACCCUCCCUGCCACAAAUGAUUGAUCCUUUUAACCAGUUUCAGAAUCCGAACUUUCGUUUCAUUAAACAAGAAAAGCGAGGUUGGUCGUCCAUGAUGCAUUUAUAGAUCCAUUUGAUGAUGAAUCCCAUCCCAUCUUGAAUACCCCUCCCUUCAUUUCAAAGUUAUGAACUGGAAUGCAUUUGC